GAACGUAACCAAUUAUAUAACCUAUGGACCUGCAUACCACCUGUUCGUUGGUGGCGACAUUACAGGGUCACAGAUUGGUGAUCGCAACAAUAUGAUAGAAAAAAAUUAUCAUUUACUUGAAGAAAGAAUUGAAUCACUGGAGGAGCGAAUUAUGAUGCUGGAGAAUAGGCCAAACCAAGCAGGAAAUGACCAACAAAUAAUAAUCCGAGCAGACGACGUUGAUCUGAUACUGGAAGAGGAAUUAGCUAAUAAUCAAUCAGAUGACAUUGAACAGGAAUGUCACGUGUACGCUAAUGUCUGUACAAUAAACCAAGCAGACGACCUUCAACAAACCAGAAACCAAGAAGACAAUGUUUGUACAAUAAACCACGCAGAUGACCGUCAACAAACAAGACACCAAAAUGACAUUGACCAGAUAACGGAAGAGGAAUCUGAUGAUAAAGUUAGACUGAAAUUAUCUGAACAUAAAUUUUUCAGGCCAAUGGAAGACCACGGCGUCAUAGAAGUAAGGAUGAAUAUAACCAUAAAAGAAUUAGUCAAAGAGGUACGCAAACAUUUGAAUAAAAGAGUUUGGGUUAUGCGUAUUGAUAGAGUCGAAGAAGGUGGCAUGAUUUAUCAAACUUUGGCUGAGAUAGGUAUCCAAGAUGGCGAUGAAGUUCGGAUUCUAUGGUAACAAUAUUCAUAUUGAAGUAUCCCUUUGACCAAAAACCAUCGAAUUCCUUUCAUUCUACAAAUAACGACACGUGUUAAAUUUUCUAUUUAUACUGUUUAAUGGGUAUUAAGAACUUGGACAUUAAAUUAAAUACAAGAGUUCUAGUUUAAAAUGUCUUAUGAGAUGUGGACACAGUGACGUAUUUCCUAUUCACUAAUGUUUUUAUUGCUCAUAUAUAUAUAUUUAGUUUAGUGCUGUGCUUGAAAACGAUAAGAGACGCCUUGUAGAAACGUAGUUCUAAUUAAAAUACAGUAAAUGUUUGCAUAGAGCUAUUUACAUUUAAGUUAAAUAUUCAGUUCUAGAAAAUCGGAAAGAGUAAUUAUACUUUGGGGGGGGGGGGGCAUGGCAGUUAUGUCCGACAGUAUGAUUGGUCGAUAUCUUCGAAGGCCAAAUUUCAUAGUUUGUUGUACGAAUUGCCAAAUUGCGUGGUCUGGCCAUAAGGCACUUGUCACAGACAGUGUUAGCCACAAAUUCUAAAUCUGCCAUGUACAAUUCCCCUGGUGUCUGUCAUUUUGCCUGUCACAGAUUUUUUUCCAAUUAACCAACGUCUUAUUGUACCCCGCCGGUCGGUCGGUCCGUUGUUCCGUCCGUCGGUCACACUUUUCAGGACACAAUAACUCUCCUAAUUGAGCUAGAAUGUUCAAACUUGGUGUAGGUGUUUAUUAGGUCGAUGCAGUGAUGGAGUUGGAAGAUGGGGAUUUUCUGCUUAGCGAUAACUUUGAAAAUGCUUGAAAAGAAACCCUAGACAAACUACACUAUGUUUUUAAAUAUAUAAACUGUCUCCGGAGCGACUCCACAACCUAUUAUACUAAGUUCACAUUUUUAUUGAUAUUGACAAAUAGAUUUUAAUCUCGAUCACACUAGUAUUUCAUUUACAAUUUUAUGAAUAUUUUUGGCCUGUUUUCCAAUGUUGUUUGUUUUUACUAGUGUGUAUUUAUAUUUAUGUAUAUUAUAACCUACAAGAUAUACUAUACAAGUUCACCCAUUUUAUUAUGUGUGUGUGGGUGGGUGUGUGUGUGUGUGUGUGUGUGUGUGUUUUUGACAUUUUAACUAUGUAUAUACAUCUUUUUGUUCUUUUAUAUUAAAAUUAUGUAUGUGUUUAUUUAACAUACAAUAUUAUAUACCAUUUCAAGCCUUUAAUUACAUAUUAUAUAUAUAUAUAUCUUUGUGUGUUUUAACUAUGUAUAUACACCC